rnacentral:snRNA from 1 species
GGACAAUUGGGCAUUCUGGUUGGGAAGUCUGUCAUCCCACCCCAUUGAUUGUCAGGACUGAUUCAGCUCAUCUGGCUGGCUAGCCUAGUGUUCUCUAUCUCCCUUACUGUCCCAUAGAUGUCCCUCCCAGAAAUUCAUACUGGGUUAAGUAAGAAAACCUUCCGAAAUUGAAGGGGACCAUGCUUUGGUCAGGAUGAGAAGCUGAGGUCUGCUACUAAAACCUGCUAACAAAAUCUCUGGGGUCAGAGGUCCUCCUCCCUUUCCAUCUGACCCCAGAUUAUCAGGUCUCAUCUGGACUGUCUGCAUUG